rnacentral:rRNA from 1 species
AUGUUGGGUUAAGUCCCGAAACGAGCGCAACCCUUGUCUUAUGUUGCCAGCAUUUGGUUGGGGACUCAUGAGAGACUGCCGGGGUCAACUCGGAGGAAGGUGGGGAUGACGUCAAAUCAUCAUGCCCCUUAUGUCCAGGGCUUCACACAUGCUACAAUGGUCGGUACAACGCGCAGCGACACUGUGAGGUGGAGCGAAUCGCUGAAAGCCGGCCUUAGUUCGGAUUGGGG